AUUUCAACUCCCCUUGGAGGUACUCCAAAAUGAGCAGUAUGAAGAUAUAGUUCAUUACUGGCUUAUGGAAUUAUACCUGAGUUUCAGAAAGUGGUUUUCUGUUGCUUUCUUCUUCCUUACGUCCAUCUUGCUUCAUCUUCCCAGGUGAGCAUAAAUCACACCUCCAUGUCCCACUGCUCCAAAAUAGAAAGACACAUGAAGCAAGAGGGAGGAAUAAACAAAAAAGAACGCCUACUUGUGACUCAGAAGCUGUAGACAGACAUUCGCUAAUAGAAUUGCUAUUACCUGGGAAUCUCUGUCAGUGGUGGUACAAGGCAGGCAAGAUGGAAAGCCUUGGGACAUCCAUCGCAGCAGAUCAGCUCCCCACCAUCUCUGCAGACAGCACAUUCAUCAUCGUUCUUCUGGUCCAGCAAAUUGAGAGAAAGGAACCAAAGCAGG
rnacentral:lncRNA from 11 species